UCGGAUAUGGUGUAAUGGCUAACAUUACCGCCUCUCAGAAUUACACAGUCUGACCGCGGUAGCUCGGGGUUCGAUUCCCCGUAUCCGAG